rnacentral:lncRNA from 1 species
CGCUGCCUUUGUAGCCAGCUCACACACAUCCAGUUGGCUAAGUAUUUGUCUGCAGUUCUUCGGCACCGGCACCGUCGCCACCAAACUCCAUGUGUGUCAGGAGGAAGGGAAGCUGCAGUCAAGUCCGGAGGCAGCUCACCUCCCUCUCUAGGCUUGGGCAGUUACAAUCCUCGCUUUGGCUUCCCUCUAUCUUGACAGUACGUGCUGGCGGCAGUGGCCACAUAAAGACAGAUCCACAUACAGCCUCGCAGCCUCUCCUAUGACGGAAACCUACCAGUGCAGCUGAGUUUGAGAUGCAACAGUAAUCCAUUUAAGCAGCUUUGGGUUCAUGCCUCAACACACACACUAUGUGAGCCUCCUCUGAAUUCUCAAGGUAUUUUGUGGGAGAACUUCUGAUGAAAAGAAGGUACCCAAGACUGCUCUCAUUCCAUCAUUAUAUCUGACAUCUCUGUUACACAUUCCCAUGACCCCUGAGCCAAAAUUUAUUUAUUAUCAUUUUUUACUAUUAAAACAGUAAAUCAAGCUUCAUGAUGUAUGUAGCCUACUAUAUAAAUGUUUUUCUGUCAUGACUUUAAUUUUUUUCUCAUGAACGUUUAUUUUC